CUAUAAAGUAAUGAGACUGGUGUUUGUGUGCAGGAUCAGUCUCAUUACUUUAUAGUC
rnacentral:pre_miRNA from 1 species